CAACUGAGCUGAUUGCUAUGGCUCUUUGACACUAAGGAAAGAAAUGGGUUGUCUUCAAUAAGUUGUAUUGUUGAAGGUGUGCUGGCCCUUUUACUAAUCAUUCCCCCUGCUGUUUCAGGGUCUCUUGGCUCUGUUUGCUGUUUGUAGGCAGUACUAGUUUACCUGUCAAAUGGCUAGAGCCAAUACCCCUAAUAUUCCUGGCGCCUAUGUACCCCAGUGUAACGAGGGCCUGUACACCCCAAAGCAGUGAAACGACUCUACAGAAUACUGCUGUCCCUGAGCAACCAGAACAAGUCCCAAGCAACCAGAAGCUCCCAGAGAAGACUUCAAGACCCAGUGUUACUGAGGUAGCAGGACCUGUUAACCAAUACCCCCGUGGGUUGCCCUUAUGGGUUCCAAAGGCCUCUCAGAAUGUUGGGCCUCCUAUUGGUGGCAGCCCAGACAUAUCCACCCUUCUCCAGAAUCCACUGGUGGCCAGCAAGGUAAAGGAAACACAUCUCCCUCUGCUGCUGAGCAGCAAGAACCGGCCCCAUGGAUCAAGCAGAGUGUUGGGCCCCACCAGCUCCCAUGAUCCUGUUCUACCUGCAUCCAGCAUUAUUUUUCAGAACCAUAACGACUAUGAACGAGGCAGUGGUUUUCUCCAACACCCUCUACUCCCCAGGAGACACAGCCCAGCCCUCUGUUAGUGUUGUAUCCCACAAUAUCAGUAAACCUGUGCCUAACCAGCCUCUCCUUAGACCAAGUGCUGGAUCCAAAGGAGUGCAGUAUCCUAUCCUCAGACAUUGGCAAUUGAUGCAUGAAUGAUGGGCUUUAAGGUUCUACAUGACGUUCAUCCCCCCUUGGUGAUGCGCA